rnacentral:rRNA from 1 species
UACGUAGGGUGCGAGCGUUGUCCGGAAUUACUGGGCGUAAAGAGCUCGUAGGUGGUUUGUCGCGUUGUUCGUGAAAACUCACAGCUUAACUGUGGGCGUGCGGGCGAUACGGGCAGACUGGAGUACUGCAGGGGAGACUGGAAUUCCUGGUGUAGCGGUGGAAUGCGCAGAUAUCAGGAAGAACACCCGUGGCGAAGGCGGCUCUCUGGGACGGUACUGACGCUGAGACGCGAAAGCGUGGGGAGCGAACAGG